AGCUCCGUUUUGGGUUUUCUCACCUUCGGUUUGGUUCGCUCGUCCUCUGUCUUCUGGGUUUCGUUUUGGAUCGUCGAUCUUGUUCCGAUGGUGGUUAAUCUCCGUCGCAGUCGCCGUUCCGGUCGUUUUACACGUGCUGGUAGCUCGAAUCCUCUCCCUGGUAGCUCCGCUUCUCCUCAGGAAGCCGUUGUAGCUCCAAAUCUCGGAGAUUCGUUUGCUCUCGCCGCCGUGAUGAACCCUGACAACGUUCACUCUCCGCUGUUUCUCCAUCACGCCG
rnacentral:lncRNA from 1 species